GACGAACGCCGGCGGCGUGCUUAACACAUGCAAGCCGAACGAUGAACUUGGAGCUUGCUCUGGGGGAUUAGUGGCGAACGGGUGAGUAACACGUGAGUAACCUGCCCUGGACUCUGGGAUAACUUCGAGAAAUCGGAGCUAAUACCGGAUAGGACCUUGCACCGCAUGGUGUGGGGUGGAAAGUUUUUCGGUUUGGGAUGGGCUCGCGGCCUAUCAGCUUGUUGGUGAGGUAAUGGCUCACCAAGGCGUCGACGGGUAGCCGGCCUGAGAGGGUGACCGGCCACACUGGGACUGAGACACGGCCCAGACUCCUACGGGAGGCAGCAGUGGGGAAUAUUGCACAAUGGGCGCAAGCCUGAUGCAGCAACGCCGCGCGCGGGAUGACGGCCUUCGGGUUGUAAACCGCUUUUAGUAGGGAAGAAGCCUUCGGGUGACGGUACCUGCAGAAAAAGGACCGGCUAACUACGUGCCAGCCGCCGCGGUAAAAC
rnacentral:rRNA from 1 species